UACGUAGGCAGCGAGCGUUGUCCGGAGUUACUGGGCGUAAAGGGUGCGUAGGCGGUUGUUUAAGUUUGGUGUGAAAUCUCCCGGCUCAACUGGGAGGGUGCGCCGAAUACUGAAUGACUAGAGUGCGGGAGAGGAUAGUGGAAUUCCGGGUGUAGCGGUGGAAUGCGUAGAGAUCCGGAAGAACACCGGUGGCGAAGGCGGCCUGCUGGGCAGUUAGCUGACACUGAGGCGCGACAGCGUGGGGAGCAAACAGG
rnacentral:rRNA from 1 species